AUCAACGCUGGCGGCGCGCUUAACACAUGCAAGUCGCACGAGAAAGCAGGAGCAAUCUUGUGAGUAAAGUGGCGUACGGGUGAGUAACACGUGGAUCAUCUACCUUCUAGUGGGGAAUACCCCCGGGAAACUGGGGACAAUACCGCAUAAGCUCGUGAGAGGAAAGCAGCAAUGCGCUGGAAGAGGAGUCCGCGGCUGAUUAGCUAGUUGGCGGGGGUAACGGCCCACCAAGGCGAAGAUCGGUAGCCGGCCUGAGAGGGCACACGGCCACACUGGCACUGAAAUACGGGCCAGACUCCUACGGGAGGCAGCAGUGGGGAAUCUUGCACAAUGGAGGAAACUCUGAUGCAGCGACGCCGCGUGAGCGAUGAAGCCCUUCGGGGUGUAAAGCUCUUUCGACGGGAACGAUGAUGACGGUACCCGAAGAAGAAGCUGCGGCUAACUACGUGCCAGCAGCCGCGGUAAUACGUAGGCAGCAAGCGUUGUUCGGAAUUACUGGGCGUAAAGAGUGUGUAGGCGGUGCUCCAAGUCUGGUGUGAAAUCUCCCGGCUCAACUGGGAGGGUGCGCUAGAAACUGGAGUGCUAGAGGAUGGGAGAGGUAAGCGGAAUUCCUGGUGUAGCGGUGAAAUGCGUAGAUAUCAGGAGGAACACCUGUGGUGUAGACAGCUUACUGGACCAUUUCUGACGCUGAGACACGAAAGCGUGGGUAGCAAACAGGAUUAGAUACCCUGGUAGUCCACGCCCUAAACGAUGCAUACUUGGUGUGAGCCAUUCAUUUGGUUCGUGCCGGAGCUAACGCGUUAAGUAUGCCGCCUGGGGAGUACGGUCGCAAGGCCGAAACUCAAAGGAAUUGACGGGGGCCCGCACAAGCGGUGGAGCAUGUGGUUCAAUUCGACGCAACGCGAAGAACCUUACCUGGGCUCGAACGGCUGGUUAACGGCAGUGGAAACAUUGCUACUCCGCAAGAAGGUCCAGUCGAGGUGCUGCAUGGCUGUCGUCAGCUCGUGUCGUGAGAUGUUGGGUUAAGUCCCGCAACGAGCGCAACCCUUGUCCUGUGUUGCCAUCAUUUAGUUGGGCACUCUCAGGAGACCGCCAGCGAUAAGCUGGAGGAAGGUGGGGAUGAUGUCAAGUCAUCAUGGCCUUUAUGUCCAGGGCUACACACGUGCUACAAUGGCCGGUACAAAGCGCUGCAAACUCGCAAGAGGGAGCUAAUCGCAAAAAACCGGUCUCAGUUCGGAUCGCAGGCUGCAACUCGCCUGCGUGAAGCUGGAAUCGCUAGUAAUGCCGUAUCAGAACGAUGGCGUGAAUACGUUCCCGGGCCUUGUACACACCGCCCGUCACAUCACGAAAGUGGAUUGUACUAGAAGUCCUAAUCAAACAGGCCCAAGGUAUGAUUCAUGAUUGGGGUG
rnacentral:rRNA from 1 species